CCUACGGGAGGCUGCAGUGGGGAAUAUUGCGCAAUGGGCGAAAGCCUGACGCAGCGACGCCGCGUGAGGGAUGAAGGUUCUCGGAUCGUAAACCUCUGUCAGCAGGGAAGAACGGUUACUGUGCUAAUCAGUAGUGUAUUGACGGUACCUGCAAAGGAAGCACCGGCUAACUCCGUGCCAGCAGCCGCGGUAAUACGGAGGGUGCGAGCGUUAAUCGGAAUUACUGGGCGUAAAGCGCUUGUAGGCGGUAUGUCAAGUCAAGGGUGAAAUCACCGCGCUCAACCGGGGAACUGCCUUUGAAACUGGCAAACUGGAGUAUGUGAGAGGGAGGUGGAAUUCCUGGUGUAGGAGUGAAAUCCGUAGAUAUCUGGAGGAACAUCAGUGGCGAAGGCGACUAUCUGGCACAUAACUGACGCUGAGGAGCGAAAGCGUGGGUAGCAAACAGGAUUAGAUACCCCGGUAGUC
rnacentral:rRNA from 1 species